UACAGAGGGUGCAAACGUUGCUCGGAAUUAUUGGGCGUAAAGCGCGUGUAGGCGGCUUGUUAAGUUGGUUGUGAAAACCCAUGGCUCAACCAUGGAAGGGCGUCCAAAACUGGCAAGCUAGAGUCCCGACGAGGAUGGCGGAAUUCCCAGUGUAGAGGUGAAAUUCGUAGAUAUUGGGAAGAACACCAGUGGCGAAGGCGGCUAACUGGUCCAGUACUGACGCUGAGGUGCGAAAGCGUGGGGAGCAAACAGG
rnacentral:rRNA from 1 species